GUCUGUGGCCAUGCUACCCUAAACAAGCCUGAUGUCUGAUCUCGGAAGCUAAGGAGGAUUGGGCCUGGUUAGCACUUGGAUGGGAGACCACCUAGGAAGACCAGGUGCUGUAGGCA
rnacentral:rRNA from 1 species